rnacentral:rRNA from 1 species
CAAAAACAUAGCCCUUGUAAAAAUCAAAGGUGUAACCUGCCCAAUGGCCUAAAAGUAUAUAAAAUUAAAUUUUUAAAAGAAGGCUUAAAGGACGCAGUAUCUUGACUGUGGUAAUGUAGCAUAAUCACUCGCCACUUAAUUGGUGGAUAGUAUGAAUGGUUGAACGAAUAUUACACUGUCUCCUCUAGAAAAUUCCUGAAAUUGAAAUAAUAGUAAAGAUGCUAUUUAAAACUGUAAGACGAAAAGACCCUAUAGAGCUUAACUAUUUUCUACAAUUAGAGAAAUAAAAGAAAUAUUUAUUAAAUUUGUAGAAAGGUAGUUUAGUUGGGGCGACUUUCUUCUAAAACUAACGAAGAUAAGCAAUGUUAAUAAAAAAGACUUAUUGUAUAAUUCAUAAAUUUAACAAUUACAAAAGUAGGCUAUAAUGACCCAUUAGUUUUAUAAGACAAAUCUAAUGAUCAAUAAAUAAAAGCUACCUUAGGGAUAACAGGAUAAUUUUGUUCUAGAGAUCAUAUCGAAGACAAAGUUUGUCACCUCGAU